rnacentral:rRNA from 1 species
GCUUGGCCCUAAACCUCAGUAGUUAGAUAACAAAACUACUCGCCAGAAUACUACGAGCUACAGCUUAAAACUCAAAGGACUUGACGGUGCUUUACACCCCCUAGAGGAGCCUGUUCCGUAAUCGAUAAACCCCGAUCCACCCCACCCUCUCUUGCUCAGCCUAUAUACCGCCAUCUUCAGCAAACCCUAAUGAAGGUCACAAAGUGAGCGCAAACGCCGUCCCGCGAGUACGUUAGGUCAAGGUGUAGCCUAUGAGACGGUAAAAAAUGGGCUACAUUUUCUACCUCAGAAAAUCCACGAAAACCCUUAUGAAAUUUAAGGGCCCAAGGAGGAUUUAGCAGUAAAUUAAGAAUAGAGUGCUUAAUUGAACCAGGCCAUAAAGCGCG